GCGCGAUUAGCUCAGCGGGAGAGCACUACCUUGACACGGUAGGGGUCACUGGUUCAAUCCCAGUAUCGCGCAC
rnacentral:tRNA from 5 species